GCUCUCUUUGGUAGCACAUAUAUUAAAAUUGGGAUGAUACAGAGAUUAGCAUGGCUCCUACACAAGGAUUGACAUUAACUUUUAUAAAUAAUAGCAUUCUUGU
ensembl:snRNA Gm25599 predicted gene, 25599